GAGCUGGAGGAGUCGCCUUAUCUGCGGAAUGACCGUCUUGUAAUUGAGUGUGAUCUAACUGUCAUCAAGGAACCAUUUAUUGUGAACGCCGCGAUAACAGCUGAGGUCCAGAUUCCACCCUUAGACUUGGCAGAAAAUUUCGGAAAAUUGCUAGAGGCGGCCGAGGAAGCAGAUGUGACAUUCAAGGUUGAAGGUGAGACUUUUCCUGCACAUAAGAUUGUGCUCGCAACGCGGUCUCCAGUCUUCAAGGCAAAGCUGUAUGGACCGAUGAGAGGCUAGUGUGGACAGAACAUAACAGUCGAAGACAUGCAACCUGCUGUUUUUAAGGCAUUACUUCACUUUAUCUACACAGAUCUAUUGCCUUCCAUGGACAAACUUUUUUCUUGA
rnacentral:rRNA from 1 species